ACUCCUACGGGAGGCAGCAGUGGGGAAUAUUGCACAAUGGGCGCAAGCCUGAUGCAGCCAUGCCGCGUGUAUGAAGAAGGCCUUCGGGUUGAUAAAGUACUUUCAGCAGUGAGGAAGUGGGUAUGUUAAUACAUACUUCAUUUGACGUUAGCUGCAGAAGAAGCACCGGCUAACUCCGUGCCAGCAGCCGCGGUAAUACGGAGGGUGCGAGCGUUAAUCGGAAUUACUGGGCGUAAAGCGCAUGCAGGUGGUUUGUUAAGUCAGAUGUGAAAGCCCGGGGCUCAACCUCGGAAUUGCAUUUGAAACUGGCAAACUAGAGUACUGUAGAGGGGGGUAGAAUUUCAGGUGUAGCGGUGAAAUGCGUAGAGAUCUGAA
rnacentral:rRNA from 1 species